rnacentral:misc_RNA from 1 species
CUUGGGUAGUAAAAAAAAGUGGAAUACUGUAUUUCCAGGAUUGGAUUUCAUAUUCGAAUGAACCUCGUAAUCGUAAAAAAGUAGGUUUUUUAGCUAUGGGCCUAGCAAAAGAAAAAUUGGGAUAGGAUCUUAUAGAGUCUCCCCCCUUCAAAACCGGACAUGAAAGUUUCCUCUCAUCCGGCUCAAAUAGUUAUACCAAAUAUAAGGAAAAGAGUUCCUGCUUUCAAACAAAAUCGAUAAAAACAAACCCCAAAAAGAGCUACUCCUUACUCAAGUUCCCAAUGAAUACCAAGCAAGCUUUCAUUGAUUCAUUCUUCUUUUCCAUUUUUUUUUUUAGAAUUUCUGAAUUCUU